rnacentral:rRNA from 1 species
UGGGGAAUAUUGGGCAAUGGGCGCAAGCCUGACCCAGCAACGCCGCGUGAAGGAUGAAGGCCUUCGGGUUGUAAACUUCUUUGAUCAGGGACGAAAAGAAUGACGGUACCUGAGGAACAAGCCACGGCUAACUACGUGCCAGCAGCCGCGGUAAUACGUAGGUGGCGAGCGUUAUCCGGAUUUACUGGGUGUAAAGGGCGUGUAGGCGGGCUGACAAGUCGGAUGUGAAAUUCCCGGGCUUAACCCGGGCGGGUCAUCCGAAACUGUCGGUCUUGAGUACUGGAGAGGAUAGUGGAAUUCCUAGUGUAGCGGUAAAAUGCGUAGAUAUUAGGAGGAACACCAGUGGCGAAGGCGGCUAUCUGGACAGUAACUGACGCUGAGGCGCGAAAGCGUGGGGAGCAAACAGG